rnacentral:tRNA from 1 species
UGGAAACGAUCGGACUCGAACCGAUGACUUUAUGCUUGCAAAGCAUACGUUCUACCAACUGAACUACGUCCCC